rnacentral:rRNA from 1 species
AUUGAACGCUGGCGGCAUGCUUUACACAUGCAAGUCGAACGGCAGCACGGACUUCGGUCUGGUGGCGAGUGGCGAACGGGUGAGUAAUACAUCGGAACGUACCCAGUAAUGGGGGAUAACUAUCCGAAAGGAUAGCUAAUACCGCAUACGCCCUACGGGGGAAAGAGGGGGAUCGCAAGACCUCUUGUUAUUGGAGCGGCCGAUGGCUGAUUAGCUAGUUGGUAGGGUAAAGGCCUACCAAGGCAACGAUCAGUAGCGGGUCUUAGAGGACGAUCCGCCACACUGGAACUGAGACACGGUCCAGACUCCUACGGGAGUCAGCAGUGGGGAAUCUUGGACAAUGGGCGCAAGCCUGAUCCAGCAAUGCCGCGUGCGUGAAGAAGGCCUUCGGGUUGUAAAGCGCUUUUGUCAGGGAGCAAAUCCUUGUGGCUAAUACCCACCGGGGAUGAGGGUACCUGAAGAAUAAGGACCGGCUAACUACGUGCCAGCCGCCGCAGUAAUAC